AUUGAAGGGACACUAUAGUCACCUGAACAACUUUAGCUUAACCCCUUAAGGACUGGACUGUUUUUGCGAUGUUGUACAUUUGCGACCAGGCAUAUUUUUACACUUAUGUGAUGUUUGUGUUUGGCUGUAAUUUUCCGCGCUCUCAUUUACUGUUCCCAUACAAAUUAUAUAUUGUUUUUUUCAGGACAAAAGGGGCUUUCUUUACAUACCAUUAUUUACAUAAUCGC